UGUUGGUGAUGAUGAUGAUAAUGGUGAUGAUGAUGAUGAUGUUGGGGAUGAUGAUGAUAACGACGACGAUGAUGAUGAUGAUGGUUGAAAUAAAGGGAAAUAACUCCAGCAAUCAUCAUCAUCAUCAUCAUCAUCAUCAUCGUCGUCG
rnacentral:pre_miRNA from 1 species